rnacentral:rRNA from 1 species
CGGAUGAACGCUGGCGGCGUGCUUAACACAUGCAAGUCGAACGAACAUGUCUUUCGGGAUAUGUUAGUGGCAGACGGGUGCGUAACACGUGGGUGACCUGCCCUGGAGUGGGGAAUAACUAUCCUAACGGAUAGCUAAUACCGCAUAUGCUCGGUGGUUCGUUCCGCUGAGUAAAGUCGCAAGACGCUUUGGGAUGGGCCUGCGGCGGAUUAGGUAGUUGGUGGGGUAAUGGCCUACCAAGCCGAUGAUCCGUAGGGGGCGUGAGAGCGCGGCCCCCCACACUGGCACUGAGAUACGGGCCAGACUCCUACGGGAGGCAGCAGUGAGGAAUAUUGCGCAAUGGGCGAAAGCCUGACGCAGCAACGCCGCGUGAGGGACGAAGGCCUUCGGGUCGUAAAGCUCUGUCCUUGGGGAAGAAGGCGAAAGCUUGACGGUACCCAAGAAGAAAGCCCCGGCUAACUACGUG